UCUGGGGAGCUCCUGGCUCAGCCAGCCACUUUGUUCAGUCCAGAGGCCCUAAAAUAGGUCACCAAGUCCAGAGCCGGGCCGUUCUCCAGGAGGCAGUGAAGAGUGAAGCUGGGAUGUUGAUAGCUGACCUCAAGAAAAGUCACCCGCAGUGGGCUCUCUUAAGGCCUCAACCAGGAGAGACCAAUGAGGGUGCCACACGCCUUUGUGGAAAGGGCUGGAACCAGGUCUCAACCCAGCCAGAGAGCUCACAAGGAGAAAAGCAGUGCUCUCCAGUGCGGUCCACGGAGCCCCGGAGUCCCAGGACCCCUUCAGAGGUCUUCGAGGCCUAAAGGUUUUCAUAAUAAUUCUUAAGACAUUAUUUGUCUUUCCCACUGUUACGAGUGUAUGGUGGAAUUUUCUAGAGGCUGCAUGCCAUGGGAUAUUGGGACAGACAAUGCAGGGGCAGGUGCGAGAAUCCAGCUGUCUUCUAUUAAGCCAGACAUUAAAGAGAUUUGGGAAAAAAAGGUAAAACGAUGCCAGUUCUUCUCUAAAUUUUUUGUUUUGGAAAAUGUUGUUUUUCAUAAAAUGUUAUUUAUAUUAACAUGCAAUGGGUUUAUUAUUGUAAAAAAUUAAUUAAUAAAUAUUUUAAAUUUUUUUCCAUUCUAAUUUCGAAUAUGGCAAAUGUUGGCAGAUAUAACCCACAUACAUAAAAACUCUUUGAGAUUCUCCAUAAUUUUUAACAAUGUAAACGGGUCCUGACAAAAAAAUAUUGAGAGCUGCUGUAAAGGUUAGUGAGACCCGGGUUCCAACUCCUGCUUCACUCUCCGAGCUGGGCGGCCUGGACCAACUGGCUGUAAGCUCUUUGUCUCCGCCCAUAGAAACGGGGGCGACGAGAGUGCCCACCACAGAAGGCUGCGCUCAGGCACCGGCUGAGAGUCAGGCUGCGCCCUUGUCCCAGGGUGCUGAUGUGACUUUUGGGGGGACCCAGAAUUAGCGUCAAAGCUCAAAGCUGAGGGCAAAGUAUGCUAAGUCCUGCGCUUUCGAAAGGGAGAUGAGGAGCCGCCCGGGACGAGUGCCAGAUGCCCCCCAGUGUGGGAACUCAGAGGCGGCAGAGCACACGUUUCCCACCCCACCCACUGCCCUCUCUCCUCCGAACCCUGACCCCGGACCCCUCCCACCACUGCUGGGCCCACGAACCGCGCACCUGCGUCCCAGCAAAUGUGGGAUAACACUGAUUCAGAACCAUGUGUGCUGGUGGGACCUCUCUGCCUGAACACUCGCAAACAGCUUAAACUCAGAAUGGAGAACUGGCCGCAUCGCCUUCCUUGCUCUACAGGACACUUGUGUUUGGCACCUCGUGUCCUCUGUCCUCGUCUGAGCUGCCGUGGCCGGGGUGGCCCCUCUUCACUUCCUGCCCAGGGGGCUCCUCUGAUGCCGGCAGGAGCUCCCUUGGCCUCUGCACGAACACAGCUCCUAAGUAGAGGGAGUCAAUGCCCCAGGCACCCUUGACAGUGAGAGACGCGAGCCUGUGGAUAAUCACUCCAUCUUCCGGGCAGACAAUUUGAGGAGGCGUUUGAAAACUUCUCAGCAAGUCCAGACGGAGUCCAGUCCCCGUUGCCCACAGCAUCCACCUCAAUGAGACAGCUUCUCUCAGCUUUUCCUCCUUCCCUGUCCCUCUCUCCCCAGCCCUCGCUCCUGUUCCCUAGGGCCACCUCCCAAAUAAAGUGCCUAGAGCCAAGCCUAGUCAGACUUUGUUCUCUCAGACCCUGUAGCAGUGUGCUGCAGAGGCCGUAACCAAGACGGAGGGGCUUAAACGAUGGAAAUGUCUUGUCUCGCAGUCUGGAGGCUGGAAGUCCAAAAUCACGGUGUUGGCAGGGCUGGUUUCUGAGGCCUGUGUGGGAAGGACGGUCCAGGCCUCUCCCCUUGGCUUGCAGAUGCCAUCUACUCCCGGUGUCUCUGCACUUCAUCUUCCCUUUGUGUCUGUCACGGGGUCCCAAUUUUCCCCUUUUAGGAGGACACCAGUCACACUGAAUUAGGGCCCAUCCUAAUGACCUCGUUUUCACUUGAUUAUCUCUGUAAAGACUCUGUCUCCAAAUGAAGUCCUAUUUGGAAGUCCCGGAGGUCAGGACUUCAAUAGAGAGAGGCGGGGGGAAAGGGCUCACGAUUCGACCCAUGACAGAUAGCAAAGCCAAGACAGACACGGACCUCAAAAGCGCAUUUUCAGGUGGGAUGUGGAACUGGAUCCCCUACUAGUCAGACAGCAGCAAGGACCCAAGGCUGGAAAAGACAGGGAGGUGGGGCUGGCCCCGUGGCCGAGUGGUUAAGUUCGUGCGCUCCGCUGCAGGCGGCCCAGUGUUUCGUCAGUUCGAAUCCUGGGCGCGGACAUGGCACUGCUCAUCAAGCCACGCUGAGGCAGCGUCCCACAUGCCACAACUAGAAGGACCCACAACGAAGAAUAUGCAACUAUGUACCUGGGGGCUUUGGGGAGAAAAAG
rnacentral:lncRNA from 1 species